rnacentral:rRNA from 1 species
UACAUGGGGUGCAAACGUUGCUCGGAAUCAUUGGGCGCAAAGCGCGCGUAGGCGGUUACUUAAGUUGGAUGUGAAAGCCCUCGGCUUAACUGAGGAAGUGCAUCCAAAACUGAGUAGCUAGAGUACGAAAGAGGGUCGCGGAAUUCCCGGUGUAGAGGUGAAAUUCGUAGAUAUCGGGAGGAACACCGGUGGCGAAGGCGGCGACCUGGGUCGAGACUGACGCUGAGGCGCGAAAGCGUGGGGAGCAAACAGG